GACGAACGCUGGCGGCGUGCUUAACACAUGCAAGUCGAACGAUGAAGAAGAGAAACGCGAACUUCGGUUCAAAUUUCACUUCGGAUUAGUGGCAGACGGGUGAGUAACGCGUGAGCAACCUACCUCUUACAAAGGGAUAGCCUCGGGAAACCGUGAUUAAUACCAUAUGACACAUUCAUAAGGCAUCUUAAGAAUGUUAAAGCUACGGCGGUAAGAGAUGGGCUCGCGUCCCAUUAGCUAGUUGGUGAGGUAACGGCCCACCAAGGCGACGAUGGGUAACCGGCCUGAGAGGGUGAACGGUCACAUUGGAACUGAGACACGGUCCAAACUCCUACGGGAGGCAGCAGUGGGGAAUAUUGCACAAUGGAGGGAACUCUGAUGCAGCGACGCCGCGUGAGCGAUGAAGGAAUUCGUUUCGUAAAGCUCUGUUCUAUGGGAGGAAAAGGACUGUACCAUAGGAGAAAGCCCCGGCUAAAUACGUG
rnacentral:rRNA from 1 species